AGGGCCUGCUAUGGUGUUUGAGGUUUGUUAUGAAAAAUGGCGCCAAGGGAUGCGAGGUCAUCGUUAGUGGCAAGUUGAGGGCUCAGCGCGCUAAAUCCAUGAAGUUCAAGGACGGGUACAUGAUUUCCUCAGGGCAACCAGUCAAGUACUACAUUGAUUCUGCUGUAAGACAUGUACUCCUUAGGCAGGGAUUUGGAUAAGAAAUGUUGCAGAUGAGUAACUUCACAAAGCUUUCAUGAGGCAUAUACGAGCGAGUUGCAGCUUAAAGUGGAUUG